GGGGAAAUAGCUUAGUGGUAAAGCAUCAGACUGCAGAUCGAGAGUUCCCUGGUUCAAACCCGGGUGUCCCCU
rfam:Ciona savignyi cont_30375, whole genome shotgun sequence.